rnacentral:rRNA from 1 species
AGGUUACUGCUAUCGGUGUUCGCCUAAGCCAUGCGAGUCAUAUGUUCGUAAGAACAUGGCGUACUGCUCAGUAACACGUGGAUAACCUGCCCUUGGGUCCGGCAUAACCCCGGGAAACUGGGGAUAAUUCCGGAUAACGCACAUAUGCUGGAAUGCUUUUUGCGUAAAAUGGAUUCGUCUGCCCAAGGAUGGGUCUGCGGCCUAUCAGGUAGUAGUGGGUGUAAUGUACCUACUAGCCUACGACGGGUACGGGUUGUGAGAGCAAGAGCCCGGAGAUGGAUUCUGAGACAUGAAUCCAGGCCCUACGGGGCGCAGCAGGCGCGAAAACUUUACAAUGCGGGAAACCGUGAUAAGGGGACACCGAGUGCCAGCAUCCUAUGCUGGCUGUCCGGGUGUGUAAAAUACACCUGUUAGCAAGGGCCGGGCAAGACCGGUGCCAGCCGCCGCGGUAACACCGGCGGCCCGAGUGGUGAUCGUGUUUAUUGGGUCUAAAGGGUCCGUAGCCGGUUUGGUCAGUCCUCCGGGAAAUCUGACGGCUUAACCGUUAGGCUUUCGGGGGAUACUGCCAGACUUGGAACCGGGAGAGGUAAGAGGUACUACAGGGGUAGGAGUGAAAUCUUGUAAUCCCUGUGGGACCACCUGUGGCGAAGGCGUCUUACCAGAACGGGUUCGACGGUGAGGGACGAAAGCUGGGGGCACGAACCGGAUUAGAUACCCGGGUAGUCCCAGCCGUAAACGAUGCUCGCUAGGUGUCAGGCAUGGCGCGACCGUGUCUGGUGCCGCAGGGAAGCCGUGAAGCGAGCCACCUGGGAAGUACGGCCGCAAGGCUGAAACUUAA